GGUGGAUGGUGGGACAUGGAUGAGAGGAGGAGUAGAGUGCAGGUGUGUCGUGAGCAGGUGACUGAAUACAUAGGAAGAACUAAUCAAGGCUGGGCUGGGGCUCAGUGGCAGAGUGCUCACCUCGCCUGCGUGAGGCCCUGGGUUCGAUCCUCAGCACCACGUAAAAAUAAAUAAAUAAAGUCAUUGUGUCCAUCUACAACUAAGAAAAAAGUUCACACACACCAAAAAGGAACUAAUCAAAUGACGUGAACUUCCCAGGGCCAAGGUGCCCGUUCCUGGACGUUGGAUGUGUCCUUCGGCGUGGGCACCUCCAGACAGGUUUGACUCCAGACAGGUUUUAUUUGGGUUUAAAUUUUUUGAAACAAGUUGUUACCAUUUAAAAAUUGGGGCUUUCACAUUUAAAAAUCUAUUAAAAAAAAAAUCUGUGGGGACUGGGGCCAGGGCUCAGCGGUGGAGCUCGGCUCGCACGUGCGAGGCCUGGGUUCGAUCCUCAGCACCACGUAAAAUUAAAUAAAGUGAAGGCCUCGUGUCCUGCACCAGACCUCGCUCCACAGCAGGGAAAUGGAAAGGCGCAGAGAGACGACGGGAGGGGACUUCUUUAUGAGGGGGGACAUCUCUGUGGCUCUGGGCAUGAGCAGCCCCUCCUGGGGGCAGGGGGAUGUGGUGCUCACAGGCACAGACCCAAGGUCUGCCCAGGCCCCGCUGUGGCACCCUGUGGCCCUGUGCCCUGCGCAAGGCGCUGGCUCCCCCUGGGCUUGGCCCUCCUCAUCUGUGGAGAGGAGGUGCCCGUGCCCCCUGGCGGGUGCCAGUCUGCUCCCAUGGGAUGCUCUCCGUGUGAGCUGCCAUUGUCUUGGGCAGGGCUGGACUCUGUCACCUACUUGCCGUCUGUGGUGGCUGAGGGCAGCCAUCCCCAGUGGAGGGCAAUUGUGCCCCAACCCAGGGGCAUGUGGCAAUGUCCAGAGACGUCUUGGGUUGUCACCAUUUUACUGGGGAGAGGCCACCAACACCUAAUGGGUAGAG
rnacentral:lncRNA from 1 species